AGUGAACGCUGGCGGUAGGCCUAACACAUGCAAGUCGAACGGCAGCACAGUAAGAGCUUGCUCUUACGGGUGGCGAGUGGCGGACGGGUGAGGAAUACAUCGGAAUCUACUUUUUCGUGGGGGAUAACGUAGGGAAACUUACGCUAAUACCGCAUACGACCUACGGGUGAAAGCAGGGGAUCUUCGGACCUUGCGCGAUUGAAUGAGCCGAUGUCGGAUUAGCUAGUUGGCGGGGUAAAGGCCCGCCAAGGCGACGAUCCGUAGCUGGUCUGAGAGGAUGAUCAGCCACACUGGAACUGAGACACGGUCCAGACUCCUACGGGAGGCAGCAGUGGGGAAUAUUGGACAAUGGGCGCAAGCCUGAUCCAGCCAUACCGCGUGGGUGAAGAAGGCCUCCGGGUUGUAAAGCCCUUUUGUUGGGAAAGAAAAGCAGCAGGUUAAUACCCCGCUGUUCUGACGGUACCCAAAGAAUAAGCACCGGCUAACUUCGUG
rnacentral:rRNA from 1 species